ACGUGAUCUGAGUUCAGACCGGAGUAAUCCAGGUCAGUUUCUAUCUAUAAAGGGCUUUUUCUAGUACGAAAGGACCGAAAAAGCACGGCCCAUGUAUUAUGCAAGCCGUACUCAUUAAUUUAUGAUUUAAACUUAAUAAACAAUUAACCUACAAAUAAGCCCUAAACCAGGGCA
rnacentral:rRNA from 1 species